UGGGGAAUAUUGCACAAUGGGCGCAAGCCUGAUGCAGCAACGCCGCGUGAACGAUGAAGGUCUUCGGAUCGUAAAGUUCUGUUGCAGGGGAAGAUAAUGACGGUACCCUGUGAGGAAGCCCCGGCUAACUACGUGCCAGCAGCCGCGGUAAUACGUAGGGGGCUAGCGUUAUCCGGAUUUACUGGGCGUAAAGGGUGCGUAGGUGGUCCUUCAAGUCGGUGGUUAAAGGCUACGGCUCAACCGUAGUAAGCCGCCGAAACUGGAGGACUUGAGUGCAGGAGAGGAAAGUGGAAUUCCCAGUGUAGCGGUGAAAUGCGUAGAUAUUGGGAGGAACACCAGUAGCGAAGGCGGCUUUCUGGACUGCAACUGACACUGAGGCACGAAAGCGUGGGUAGCAAACGGG
rnacentral:rRNA from 1 species